rnacentral:rRNA from 1 species
AGGAUGAACGCUGGCGGCGUGCUUAACACAUGCAAGUCGAACGGUCUCGCAAGGGACAGUGGCGCACGGGUGAGGAACACGUAGCUUAUCUGCCUUCGAGUGUGGGAUAACGCUCCGAAAGGAGUGCUAAUACCGCAUAAGCUCCCAGUUUCUAGAGAACCGGGAGAAAAGGGGAAACCCGCUUGAAGAGGAGGCUGCGGCCCAUCAGGUAGUUGGUGCGGUAACGGCGCACCAAGCCAACGACGGGUAGGGGACCUGAGAGGGUGAUCCCCCACACUGGGACUGAGACACGGCCCAGACUCCUACGGGAGGCAGCAGUGAGGAAUAUUGCCCAAUGGACGCAAGUCUGAGGCAGCGACGCCGCGUGGGUGAUGAAGGCCUUCGGGUCGUAAAGCCCUUUUCUGCGUGACGAGACAAAGGCGGUAGCGCAGGAAAAGUCUCGGCUAACUACGUGCCAGCAGCCGC